GACGAACGCUGGCGGCGUGCUUAACACAUGCAAGUCGAACGGAAAGGCCAUGCUCUUGUGGGGUGCUCGAGUGGCGAACGGGUGAGUAACACGUGAGUAAAAUGCCCUUGACUUUGGGAUAACUUCAGGAAAAUGGGGAUAAUAUAGGAUAGGAGCUCCUGCAGCACGGUGGGGGUUGGUAAGUUUCGGCGGUUGGGGAUGGUCUAGCGGGUUAUCAGCUUGUUGGUGAGGUAGUGGCUUACCAAGGCUUCGACGGGUAGCCGGCCUGAGAGGGUGACCGGCCACAUUGGGACUGCGGGACGGCCCAGACUCCUACGGGAGGCAACAGGGGGGAAUAUGACACAAUGGGCGGGAGCCUGAGGCAGCAACGCCGCGUUCGGGAAGACGUCCUACGGGGUGUAAACCGCUUUCGCCUGUGACGAAGCGUGAUUGACGGUAAUGAGUAAAGAAGCACCGGCUAACUACGUG
rnacentral:rRNA from 1 species